rnacentral:rRNA from 1 species
UAAGGAGGGGGCGAGCGUUAUUCGGAUUCACUGGGCGUAAAGCGCGCGUAGGCGGUUAGGUAAGUCUGAUGUGAAAGCCCUGGGCUUAACCGAGGAAGUGCAUUGGAUACUGCCUGACUAGAGUACAGGAGAGGAAGAUGGAAUUCCCGGUGUAGAGGUGAAAUUCGUAGAUAUCGGGAGGAACACCAGAGGCGAAGGCGAUCAUCUGGACUGUAACUGACGCUGAGGCGCGAAAGUGUGGGUAGCAAACAGG